GGCAAGGAACCAAGUAAGAACAAACUAUAAGACCCCACUGUGCUUCACUCUCAUCACAUUUUCAAGUUUCAGCAUAACCAAUAAUUGAAUUUGAAUCAUUUGGGUCUCUAGACACAAACACUACCCCCUCUUUCCCCCUCCUCAACAUUGUUAUGAUCCCUUGUUGGUAACCAUUCCAUUUGCACUUGUCUUUGCAACCAAAAACAAGCUCUAUGACCAACGAAAUGAAAGAAGCAAGUGCCUUAGGAGCUAGAACAGCACGAGCAUGCGAGAGCUGCCUAAAAGUAAGAGCACGGUGGUAUUGUGCAGCUGAUGAUGCAUUCCUUUGCCAUGGCUGUGACAACAUGGUUCACUCAGCAAACCAAUUAGCAAGUAGACACGAAAGGGUUAAGCUUCAAACUGCAUCCUCUAAGGUCAACUACUCAGUGACCCCUAAGGUAGCAUGGCACAGUGGAUUCACACGCAAGGCAAGAACGCCACGCCACAACAACAACAGACACUCAUCAUUGAAACAACAACAACAAAAAAAACCAUUACAUGAAGAACGAGGAGAGGAAGAAGUGUUUUUCAAUAACACUAUUAGUCUUCUUCCCCUUGUGCCUGAGCUUGGAAGUGAAGAGCCAUUGCUUAAUGAUGAGACUGAGGAGCAACUACUGUGUCGCGUGCCGGUGUUUGAUGCUGAGCUUUGUAGCAUAUACAAUGAAGUGAAGGACGAGGUUGUAGCUGCUGGUGAAGAAGCCUUGGACUUGGAAAACUUUUCUUCCGAGUUUCUUCCAUCAGAUACGGACCUUGCUGAGUUUACUGCUGAUGUGAAAAGCUUUCUUGGAAACGGGGCUGAUGAGGAUUCACCUGAUGAUGAUGAGCACGUGAAAGAAUCAGAACUACUGAUUCUUGAUUGCAAAGAAGAAGAAGGAGAUGAGGAAAUGGAUGAAUGUAUUGAUGGAGUACUAAUUGGAGCCAAAGAUGCAAUGGUGAAGGUCAAAGAUGAAGAAGAACUUGAUGCUGAUGAUGACACAGCUUGCCAUUUGGAUUCGAUUCUUGAUAUGAACGGCGAGGCAUUUAAUUGGAAUAUUGUUGAAUCAGAAUCACCUGCACAGGCACAAGAAGAUGAAGUGAGUAAAGUGGGAACUAAGAAGGACAUAUUUUUGAGAUUAAACUAUGAAGAAGUCAUUACUGCUUGGGCAAGUCAAGGUUCUCCAUGGACUAAUGGGACCCCACCUAAGUUCUUCAACUCUGAUGAUUGCUGGCUAGACUUCUUGGGUUCGAAUGGUGGGAAUGUUCAAUGCUGUUAUGGGGCAGUGGGAAGCUUAAGGGUGCAUGCAGAUGGGGGAAGGGAAGCAAGAGUGUCAAGGUACCGAGAGAAGAGAAGAACGCGUUUAUUUGCAAAGAAGAUAAGGUAUGAAGUGAGGAAGUUGAACGCGGAGAAAAGACCUAGAAUGAAAGGUCGAUUUGUGAAGAGGACACCCUUUGUUGGAGCCACUGCGUUGCCAGCUUAAUCAUCAAUCACCACUGACAUGAUUGAUCAUCAAAGUGAUCAAAUAAAUGGUUAACUUUUCCAAGUUUGAUUUUAUGGAAAAGUUAGUUUGAUUAAUUAUUAGUUACUAGGUUUUGCCAUGUAUGUACAUUAUCAUCACUAGGUCAGGUUUCUCUUGCUUGGGAUAUUUAUUGCUUUCUCUAGCAGGUCUAGCUAGUACUAAUGGAAAUGGUAGCCCCUCUCAGCAUGUUGAAGACUUUGGUACUUAUAUGUACAAGUUUUACAUCUGCUAUGCAUAGGAAUUGAAGAAGAAGAACGAAAGCAAACAGUGCAGACCCUGUUUUCAUUCAUCAAGGAUCGUUGACACCUUUGCUACAGCCUCCUCUUCCUACCUCCUCUGUCUACUGUUUCAAGCUCUAACAGGUUUGUUCUCUCAGGUUCUCAAGCUUUGCAUGAUAAGCUAACUUGCCCACAACACAGCAUCAAGUAUUUACUUUGUACGAAAUCUUUCAGCCAUAGACAGAUCUUUCAGCUCCAGAACUAGCCGUCUAUCAUCAAAUAAUAGUGAAAGGUGGUACAGUUGUUUUGACCGCUAACAAUUACUCCUCUUAAUUAGGGUUUUAAGUAUUUUACUCUACUGUUGAAUGACAAAACACUUGUAGCAUCUUUGGUUUUGAUUAUUUUAUUAAAAAAACAAGUCACUUGUUUAUUAAUUGAAAAAUCUGUCAAUAAAGCUUGAUUAAAAGCUCUUACUACUUUCAUACACAAAAGAAGCUAAUCCAAGCAUGUACACUGCAUUCGGUUCUUUUAUUGCAUCAAAUUGGAAAUAAACAUUUCCAGGUACUCUGUUGUUUCUUUU